rnacentral:rRNA from 1 species
AUUGAACGCUGGCGGCAGGCCUAACACAUGCAAGUCGAACGGUAACAGGAAGCAGCUUCCUGCUUCGCUGACGAGUGGCGGACGGGUGAGUAAUGUCUGGGAAGCUGCCUGAUGGAGGGGGAUAACUACUGGAAACGGUAGCUAAUACCGCCUAAUGUCGCAAGACCAAAGAGGGGGACCUUCGGGCCUCUUGCCAUCGGAUGUGCCCAGAUGGGAUUAGCUUGUUGGUGGGGUAACGGCUCACCAAGGCGACGAUCCCUAGCUGGUCUGAGAGGAUGACCAGCCACACAGGAACUGAGACACGGUCCAGACUCCUACGGGAGGCAGCAAUGGGGAAUAUUGCACAAUGGGCGCAAGCCUGAUGCAGCCAUGCCGCGUGUAUGAAGAAGGCCUUCGGGUUGUGAAGUACUUUCGGCGGGGAGGAAGGUAGUAAAGUUAAUACCUUUGCUCAUUGACGUUACCCGAAGAAGAAGCACCGGCUAACUCCGUG